UACGUAGGGUGCAAGCGUUGUCCGGAAUUAUUGGGCGUAAAGAGCUCGUAGGCGGUUUGUCGCGUCUGCCGUGAAGGUCCGGGGCUCAACUCCGGAUCUGCGGUGGGUACGGGCAGACUAGAGUGAUGUAGGGGAGACUGGAAUUCCUGGUGUAGCGGUGAAAUGCGCAGAUAUCAGGAGGAACACCGAUGGCGAAGGCAGGUCUCUGGGCAUUAACUGACGCUGAGGAGCGAAAGCAUGGGGAGCGAACAGG
rnacentral:rRNA from 1 species